ACCCAUCGCCAUCCAGCUAUAGCACGGAUCGAGCAGCUGCUGUCCGGCUUCAAUUUGUAGCCCCGCACACCACCAUCAUUGCUCGGCACCGCAGCAGCCACUGUGUUGCCGCUCUGGCAGCCCCGUUUCCCCAUUAAAGGUUGUGUAGAAGCAGAUAUUGAUAAGUAGCAAAACCAUGUCGUCAAAGGAAGGGAUAAAUCUUAAGGAUUUGUGAGGCAGAUUACCUUGAUUGAGUGGGAAAAUAUGAAUAGUCACUGUUGUCGUCCUUGUGAGUUCUAGAGAGUGAAUUUCAGAUUGAGAGUUCUUGAGUUUUGGUGAGAGUGAAAAGUAUGAGCAGCGGCUGUGUUUGAUUUAGGGUAGCAGGAUGAAUAAAUUGGUAUGUAAAAAUAGAAUGAAUCGAAGUUGAAAAACGUGAUUAGGGUGUUACAAAUUUGGGUGAUUGAUUGCACAAUCAAUCUAGAAUUAAUUGUAAUUGAUUGAUUUUAUUUGGGA